UACGUAGGGGGCAAGCGUUAUCCGGAUUCAUUGGGCGUAAAGCGCGCGUAGGCGGCUUGCUAAGUCAGAUGUGAAAACCGGGGGCUCAACCCGCGGCCUGCAUCUGAAACUGGCAGGCUUGAGUCUGGUAGAGGAAAGUGGAAUUCCUGGUGUAGCGGUGAUAUGCGCAGAUAUCAGGAGGAACACCAGUGGCGAAGGCGGCUUUCUGGGCCACGACUGACGCUGAGGCGCGAAAGCUAGGGGAGCAAACAGGAUUAGAUACCCUGGUAGUCCUAGCUGUAAACGAUGGGCACUAGGUGUGGGGGGUCAUCGACUCCCUCCGUGCCGCAGCUAACGCAUUAAGUGCCCCGCCUGGGGAGUACGGCCGCAAGGCUAAA
rnacentral:rRNA from 1 species